rnacentral:rRNA from 1 species
CCUACGGGAGGCAGCAGUGGGGAAUAUUGCACAAUGGGCGCAAGCCUGAUGCAGCGACGCCGCGUGGGGGAUGACGGCCUUCGGGUUGUAAACUCCUUUCAGCCAUGACGAAGCCCUUGUGGUGACGGUAGUGGUAGAAGAAGCACCGGCUAACUACGUGCCAGCAGCCGCGGUAAUACGUAGGGUGCGAGCGUUGUCCGGAAUUACUGGGCGUAAAGAGCUCGUAGGUGGUCUGUCGCGUCAUUUGUGAAAGCCCGGGGCUUAACUCCGGGUUGGCAGGUGAUACGGGCAUGACUGGAGUACUGUAGGGGAGACUGGAAUUCCUGGUGUAGCGGUGAAAUGCGCAGAUAUCAGGAGGAACACCGGUGGCGAAGGCGGGUCUCUGGGCAGUAACUGACGCUGAGGAGCGAAAGCAUGGGUAGCGAACAGGAUUAGAUACCCUGGUAGUCCAUGCCGUAAACGGUGGGCGCUAGGUGUGGGUUUCCUUCCACGGGAUCCGUGCCGUAGCUAACGCAUUAAGCGCCCCGCCUGGGGAGUACGGCCGCAAGGCUAAAACUCAAAGGAAUUGACGGGGGCCCGCACAAGCGGCGGAGCAUGUGGAUUAAUUCGAUGCAACGCGAAGAACCUUACCUGGGCUUGACAUACACCGGAUCGGGCUAGAGAUAGUCUUUCCCUUUGUGGCUGGUGUACAGGUGGUGCAUGGUUGUCGUCAGCUCGUGUCGUGAGAUGUUGGGUUAAGUCCCGCAACGAGCGCAACCC